UGGGGAAUAUUGCACAAUGGGCGCAAGCCUGAUGCAGCGACGCCGCGUGAGGGAUGACGGUCUUCGGAUUGUAAACUCCUGUUGACCGGGACGAAUGGGCUCUGACCUAACACGUCGGAGCAGUGACGGUACCGGUUGAGGAAGCCACGGCUAACUCUGUGCCAGCAGCCGCGGUAAUACAGAGGUGGCAAGCGUUGUUCGGAAUUACUGGGCGUAAAGGGCGCGUAGGCGGCCUUCUUAGUCAGACGUGAAAUCCCCGGGCUUAACUCGGGAACUGCGUCUGAUACUGGAAGGCUGGAGUUCGGGAGAGGAAUGUGGAAUUCCAGGUGUAGCGGUGAAAUGCGUAGAUAUCUGGAGGAACACCGGUGGCGAAGGCGGCAUUCUGGACCGAAACUGACGCUGAGGCGCGAAAGCCAGGGGAGCAAA
rnacentral:rRNA from 1 species